rnacentral:lncRNA from 1 species
UUCUCGUAUGAGUUCCCAAAAAUAAAACCGUGAGGGCGUGGUCGGGAUCCAAAGUGGACAAUAUCGUGCUAUGGUGGAGUCGAGCCUGGAAUGUGGUGGGGGGCCGGGCCGGGAUGUGACAAUAUUCUUGAUUUAGAUGCUUUUCAAAUUUAUUUUAAAUUAAUUUCUACGCUAGAAGUGCUUUCAAAUAAUAUUUAUUUAAUUUAUUAUCUUUAUCCUUUCCUCAAUUUAAAAAUUCAAUAAUAACCAAAUUAAUUGAGGACCGAGAGACUUAAAUUAUUAAGAAAUUUCAAUAGGAUAAUAUAUAUAAAUAUUUUCUAACUUGGUACAAUCUUUACUACUGUAAGGGUUAAUAUUCUUUCUCAUUCUCUAUUUUAUUCGUUAGAAUUCAACUAUGAUUCAUGUCACAGCCCGUCCCGAGAUUUUUAUAUCAGGAACGUGAAAUGACGGGAUUACCCUUGACGGGUAUUAAGGUAUGUGUGUAUGUGACAGUAUUUAGACUUAAACUUUAUAAAUUUUGGAAUUAUCUUAUGUUGGAUUGUUUGUGUGGUUAGGGAACUAAGAUGAGAAUGGAUGGUGAGGAUUGAUGUUGGACCACACAUACAAGCCCUCAUUCCUUUUCCCUUCCCCGUGUCUCUCUCUCUCCUCCCUUCGAACUCUCCCUUUCUCUGCAAAUCGUACGAACGUAGUCCGUUGACCCCCAUUCCUUCACGGAUCAAGCUCCCAAGACCCCCCAUCAUAUUUCUUGCAAGAAUACGAAUUCAACCAUACCCUUGGUUGGUUGAAUUAUCUUCGAUAAACCCAGAAACCACGAGGGUUCCGUCGAAGCACUGUAGCACCGAUUUGAUCGUCGAGGUUUCAUGCCAUUUUGAGGUUCAGAAAGGUAACAAGUCUCUUUCCUUAGUCAUUUGGCAUGAUUUUGGUUGAAGUUUAAUGUGAGAAAACCCCGAAAAAUCGAAUCCCCGAGUUGGUCACUAUUUAUCAACUUUUAAACGGAGGGUUUUCUUUGAAUUUCAGGGCUAUAGUGAGCUUUAGAACAUCCUCAUGAUGCUCGGAGUGCAACGUUGAGGUAUUUUGGACGUCGGGGAGCCAUAGAACGAAGUUUCACUUUUUGCCGAAGUAUCGUGCUUCCCCAGGUAAAAUCUAGUGAAUUUUAGACCUUGAAACUAGUCCAUCGUGAUUCUACAUGUUGAGGGCUUCAAAUUGAUAUAAAAUUCGAAGAAAACGGUUGAGAAACGAAGGAGAACAAGCAAUUACAAAAUUCGCCGGAAUCCGGCCACCGGAAAAACCAGUCCGGCGACUGGCUGAGGAAGAAGACGCGCGUGGGGGCGCGUAGGUCCGUGCCACCCACGGCGCGUGAGGGCGCGUGGCAAGUCUAAAAAUUUUUCUAAAAAUUCCUUGACGUCCGUGAUGUCGAGUAGGUUGAUGUGGUAUAUUCAUAUACCCAAAUUGAGCAUCGUAUGAGAAGUUAUUUCAAAUUGUUGGUUAUGUGUUUAAAUUAACGUUUUUAUAGUUAUUUCGCAUAUAGGUGAAAAUGUGAAUUGACGAUCCGACCGUUGGAUCGUCACCAAACUUUGAUGCGUCGUAAUACGUAAUAAUUGAGGAUUAUGGGAACUUACGGAUUGGGAAUCCGAUUUACGGAUCUUCCGGAAUUGGAGUUGUAAGUCCAUAAUAUAGAAUGUUAACCGUCACUUGGUUUUGAUAAUUGACAGAGAUCCGACCGUUGGAUGGUAAGGAAAUUUUAGGAUGUUGUUCUAGGGAUAUAUUGUGGACCUCUGGAAGUUAUGGAUUGGAAAUCUGAGUUGCAGAUCUUCAGGAUCGAACUGCGUAGUGACGUGUUUUAUAUAAGUUAUAUUCUAUUGAUAUGAAUUCUGAGGUUGGAUUUGAUUUUUGUUCUAGGCACCGAUCGUCAUGACGCCUUGAUGUGUUGUGCUAGGGAGUUGUAGGGCGAAUUCCAGGUGAGUGGGCAGUUUUGUUUUCGUAUUACCUAUAUACUACUGUUUUUCCCAAAAAAUGCAUUUAUAUGAAAAUAUAUUUUAAAAUGCCAUGCAUGCAAUUGAUGAGAUAUUUGAAUUGAUAAUUGAUGCAUAUAUAUGUGAAUUGACGCUGUGGACACACAUGUGAGUUUUUACAUUAUUCAUACGAUUUAUUUAUGUGAAUUGCAUUGAAAGCUCAGAACCUGCACCCUAGGUGUUAGUGCUUAUAUUAUUCACCACACUGCACGCUCGCCUUGGAUCCAAGUAGGUGGAUGUCGUACAGACCACUAGAGGUGGUUCCGACAUGCCAGUUGUACAGACCAUUAGAGGGGUUCCGACUGGUAGGUGACCUUAGAUUAUGUGCACAGAUGAUUGAUGAGAGAAGCACUAGAGCGUAUUAUUUCACCAUCUUAGUCGUACAGACUACUAUAGGUAGUUCUGACUUAUGUGCAGUGUAGUGCCGUACAGGUCAUAAUUGGUGACUCCGGCAGGGCCGUACAGGUCACAGUUGGUGACUCCGGCUGGAUGGGAUAUUGAGCUAUAGAAUCAACCGUACAGGACCACUGUAGGGUCUCCAGUUGAUUUAUUAUUUCACUUGAUUUAUAUUGAUGCAUUCAUAUUAUAUUUUGGCAUGGCAUGGCAUAUUCUUUCUGAAAAGUGUUGAAGGAUUGUGAUUUGAGCUUUUGAUGAUAUAUAUAUGUUUAUAUACUAAAUUUCUGGGAAAAUAUACAGGUUUUACGGCGAGGGGUUAGAAAUGUUUUAAAUGAAAGGUUUUCGAAAAGCUUUGUUUUGCUGACCCACUCAAUUUUGUUUUGCGCCCCUCCAGGUUCAAGUUAGCAAAGCUUUGGUGGCCACGAGGAAUCCAACGGUGUUCGGACAGAAUUCACAAAAG